UUAGCUACUUUCCCAACACGACUCAAAAUUCUAUAAGGGCCAACAUAAUGGGGACUAAGCUUCCCCUCUUUCCCAAACCUUUUCACCCCUUUCAUGCAUAAAAUUUUCAAGUACACCAAAUCACCCACCUCAAACGCAAGAUCUCUUCUCCUCACAUCACCAUAUGACUUUUGAUGACUCUGAGUUGUCUUCAAUCUCUCUCUAAUCAACUUGACUUUCUCC
rnacentral:lncRNA from 1 species